CAAAAUGUAGUUUAACUAAAACAUUUCGUUUACACCGAAAAAAUAUCAGUUAUAUUCAGAUCAUUUUGA
rnacentral:tRNA from 1 species